GGGAGUAUAGCUCAGUGGUAGAGCAUGUGCUUAGCAUGCACAAGGUCCUGAGUUCAAUUCCCAGUACCUCUG
rnacentral:tRNA from 1 species